rnacentral:rRNA from 1 species
CCUACGGGAGGCAGCAGUGAGGAAUAUUGGUCAAUGGGCGGGAGCCUGAACCAGCCAAGUCGCGUGAGGGAUGACGGCCCUGUGUGUUGUAAACCUCUUUUGUCCGGGAGCAAAGUGCCGCACGUGUGCGGGUUGGAGUGUACCCGAAGAAAAAGCAUCGGCUAACUCCGUGCCAGCAGCCGCGGUAAUACGGAGGAUGCGAGCGUUAUCCGGAUUUAUUGGGUUUAAAGGGUGCGUAGGCGGCCGGUUAAGUCAGCGGUAAAAUUGCGGGGCUCAACCCCGUCGAGCCGUUGAAACUGGGAGCCUUGAGUGGGAGAGAAGUAGGCGGAAUGCGUGGUGUAGCGGUGAAAUGCAUAGAUAUCACGCAGAACUCCGAUUGCGAAGGCAGCGUGCCGGCGCCAAACUGACGCUGAAGCACGAAGGCGUGGGUAUCGAACAGGAUUAGAUACCCGAGUAGUC